rnacentral:tRNA from 1 species
GUCUUUUUAGUAAAAAUAAUACAAAUGACUUCCAAUCAUUUAACCUUAGUUUAAACCUAAGAAAAGAUA